CGUCGACCGGCGCACGGGUGAGUAACGCGUAUCCGACCUUCCCAUUACUGUGGGAUAACCUGCCGAAAGGCAGACUAAUACCGCAUAGUCUUCGAUGACGGCAUCAGAUUUGAAGUAAAGAUUUAUCGGUAAUGGAUGGGGAUGCGUCUGAUUAGCUUGUUGGCGGGGUAACGGCCCACCAAGGCGACGAUCAGUAGGGGUUCUGAGAGGAAGGUCCCCCACAUUGGAACUGAGACACGGUCCAAACUCCUACGGGAGGCAGCAGGC
rnacentral:rRNA from 1 species